rnacentral:rRNA from 1 species
AUACGGAGGGUGCAAGCGUUAAUCGGAAUUACUGGGCGUAAAGCGCGCGUAGGCGGUUUUGUAAGUCGGAUGUGAAAGCCCAGGGCUCAACCUUGGAAUUGCAUUCGAAACUGCAUGACUAGAGUAUGGUAGAGGGAAGUGGAAUUCCAGGUGUAGCGGUGAAAUGCGUAGAUAUCUGGAGGAACAUCAGUGGCGAAGGCGACUUCCUGGACCAAUACUGACGCUGAGGCACGAAAGCGUGGGUAGCAAACAGGAUUAGAUACCCGAGUAGUCC